rnacentral:rRNA from 1 species
UCAUAUGCUUGUCCGAAGCUUAAGCCAUGCAUGUCUAAGAAUAAGUAGCUUGAUCCUGAAUCUGCGAACGGCUCCGUAUAUCUGUUAUAACCCAUUGCCUCUCGCACCCUCUCGACGGAUACCCACGGUAAUUCUGUGGCUAAUACGUAGAUCUGCCCGGGGUCUCCUUAUGGGACCUUGGGGUAUCGCGCCUAUACUCACCAGUGCCCCCCCUCGUCCUGGUGGGCGGGGGUGGGUGCGGCAGGAAAGGCUCGCGGUUAUCCAAUGCCGGCUCGGGGAGCCGGGGAGAGCAGGGGGUUUCAGACCUAUCAACUAGAAGACUGGGGAGAGCCCAGCCUUGGUUAUAACGGGUACAGAGGAUCAGGGUUCGGUCCUGGAGAGGUAGCCUGAGAGAUCGCUACUACUUCUAAGGAAGGCAGCAGGCGCGCAACGUUCCCAAUGGGCAUUUGCCUGAGGACGUGAAGGGGCAUAGCAAUGCCGGGCCAUAUGGCUCGGCAAUUGAAAUGGGGUGUCUUUAAAUCCCACACCGAGUAACAAUUGGAG